AGUCGAACGCGAAAGUCCCCUUCGGGGGACAAGUAGAGUGGCGCACGGGUGAGUAACACGUAGGUAAUCUACCUUCGGAUGGGGAAUAACAACCGGAAACGGUUGCUAAUACCGCAUAAUGCAGCGGCACCUAAUGGUGACAGUUGUUAAAGCGGGGGAUCGUAAGACCUCGCGUCUGAAGAGGAGCCUGCGGCGGAUUAGCUUGUUGGUAAGGUAACGGCUUACCAAGGCUACGAUCCGUAGCCGGCCUGAGAGGGCGGUCGGCCACACUGACACUGACAUACGGGUCAGACUCCUACGGGAGGCAGCAGUCGGGAAUUUUGGGCAAUGGGCGAAAGCCUGACCCAGCAACGCCGCGUGAAGGAUGAAAUCCCUCGGGAUGUAAACUUCGCAAGAACGGGAAGAAUAAGUAGGGGACAACACCCCCUAUGAUGACGGUACCGUUUGUAAGCUCCGGCUAACUCCGUGCCAGCAGCCGCGGUAAUACGGGGGGAGCAAGCGUUGUUCGGAUUUACUGGGCGUAAAGGGCGCGUAGGCGGCCAGCACAAGUCAAUUGUGAAAUCUCCGGGCUUAACUCGGAAAGGUCAACUGAUACUGUGCGGCUAGAGUGCGGAAGGGGCAACUGGAAUUCUUGGUGUAGCGGUGAAAUGCGUAGAUAUCAAGAGGAACACCUGCGGCGAAGGCGGGUUGCUGGGCCGACACUGACGCUGAUGCGCGAAAGCUAGGGGAGCGAACGGGAUUAGAUACCCCGGUAGUCCUAGCCUUAAACGAUGAAUGCUUGGUGUCUGGGGUUAUAAAGUCCCCGGGUGCCGUCGCUAACG
rnacentral:rRNA from 1 species